rnacentral:rRNA from 1 species
GACGAACGCUGGCGGCGUGCUUAACACAUGCAAGUCGAACGGAAAGGCCCUGCUUUUGUGGGGUGCUCGAGUGGCGAACGGGUGAGUAACACGUGAGUAACCUGCCCUUGACUUUGGGAUAACUUCAGGAAACUGGGGCUAAUACCGGAUAGGAGCUCCUGCUGCAUGGUGGGGGUUGGAAAGUUUCGGCGGUUGGGGAUGGACUCGCGGCUUAUCAGCUUGUUGGUGGGGUAGUGGCUUACCAAGGCUUUGACGGGUAGCCGGCCUGAGAGGGUGACCGGCCACAUGGGGACUGAGAUACGGCCCAGACUCCUACGGGGGGCAGCAGUGGGGAAUAUUGCACAAGGGGCGGAGGCCUGAGGCAGCAACGCCGCGUGCGGGAUGACGGCCUUCGGGUUGUAAACCGCUUUCGCCUGUGACGAAGCGUGAGUGACGGUAAUGGGAAAAGAAGCACCGGCUAACUACGU